rnacentral:rRNA from 1 species
UACGUAGGUGGCGAGCGUUGUCCGGAAUCAUUGGGCGUAAAGAGCGCGUAGGCGGCUUGUCAGGUCCGAUGUGAAAUCUCGGGGCUCAACCCCGAAAGUGCAUCGGAAACCGGCUUGCUAGAGUUUGGGAGAGGAGAGUGGAAUUCCUGGUGUAGCGGUGAAAUGCGCAGAUAUCAGGAGGAACACCGGUAGCGAAGGCGGCUCUCUGGAACAAUACUGACGCUGAGGCGCGAAAGCUAGGGGAGCAAACAGG